AGAAAUAACCGAGUAUUCUUAUCUUGCUAAGUUAAAGAAUCCGUAGUUUGAUUCUAUGGUAUUUCUG
rnacentral:tRNA from 1 species